GAAUUUGUCGCACUGGUGAUAAUAGCUCGGAGGCAAUCAGCAAGAAGAGAUGCAGAGAUGAGAGGCAGGGGCUUUGGCUUUUACGAAGCAAUUUAUGAAGAGAUUGACGAUACUCUUCCUGGAAACAAGUUCAGUCAGAUGGAUGAAUCUAUCUCUGGAUCCAUUGAUUCCAUGAAUCAAAUAGAAUAUUACACCAGUGACCCUCAGGGUUGUGCUCAUUCAACAAGCGAACUCCCUG